rnacentral:tRNA from 3 species
GGCUCGGUGGCAGAGUGGUUAUGCAGCGGAUUGCAAAUCCGUCUACGGCGGUUCGAUUCCGUUCCGAGCCUCCA